CAAGAAACGAAAAGUCAUCGUCACUCGUCACCCACCUCUUGCCUGCGUCGAAUGGCAAAAAAAAAGUAGAUUUCUUUAAGGCCUGUGAAAGUGGUCAGUGCAGUGCUAAGAAAAGUUGUUGAAAUUCCGGACCGUUUCGUGUCUGGUAGGCUGCAUCGUUCCGUCUCAGUGUUCGCUGGUGGAAUCGCGAUUGGUGACGCGGACACAGGAAGCACGCACGUGCAAGUUCUCGGAAUACGGCACAACGCCGCCGCAGGAAGAAGAGGCAACGCGCGCGAGUUUUAUUCGUCCACAGCGCAACAGGAAUCACGGAAGAGCGGGUCAAUUAUUGUUACUCCGAAGCUGACGAAGAUCGAGCGCCUGGUGGUGUGACUGGUUAGAGGACAGGCUAAAACGCUCAUCAAAUUGAGCGGAAAUACCCCACUGGGGUUUUUUUCGGUGGAGCCAAUUCCCAUCAUCGAGGUCCGGGAGUAUCGUGAUCGAGGCAGUGGUGCGACAAAGCGACGGUCGGAUUGCCGAAACAUCGAUUGCGUUUCGUCCGGCAGGACUAGGUCGGAGGAGAUUCGUUCGGGAACCAGCAGCCCUUCGGUGCAGGGUUGGGAAAAAUCAAAUUUUCGAAUAAUCGGGAAAGAUCAAACUCACCCGCGAUCUUACUUUUAAAUAAUCAAGUGAUUAAGACUCGCCAGCGAUUGAUAAUCGUAUGAAAAUCGUAUCUUGAUUUGAAGCAUUUGCCGUUACAUUUUGAACUCUUUUUCCUUACUAUCAUGAAACCAUAACGCCAAAUAGAAGAUAUAACGUGACUGUUGACAAUUAGCUGAUAUUAGUAAAGAAUAAUGAUUGAAUGAAAAUUCUGUGUUUAUUAUCGUAUGAGUACAAAAUUUGAAAAGUUGUCGCCGGUGACAACUCGCCUACUGUUUUCACGUGAAAAGUUUUCACAUGAAAAUUGCAAUCAUUAUCGUCUGAUAAUGAUUCAGCACAACACUGCUUCGGUGGAUCACUCGGAGGGACCCCAUCCAGUUACUUGGUCGCACUGGACGGCCAGAGGGGUCUCCAGCAGAGUGAUUAGGAUGCAUGCGUGGGACGGCAGUGAAAUGCGGCAGGCGAGCAGUCGCGGCAGCGAGAGCUCCGCCGAGGAAAUAGUGUAGGGGGACGCCCCGAACACAAGAAGGUACCGCGAGUGCUGUGAAGAGACCGUGAGUACGAAAAAUCUAUGUUGUAAAUCGGAAAGAUAGAGAAGGAGAAAUGAGAUGAGAAGAUAGGAGCUAGGUGGAGAAAGAGAUUAGGGCAAAUGCCCCAAAUAUAUGUAUGAAAUUAGAUUUGUGGCUUUUUCGAUUUUGUUGGUGUUUUAGCCCUCCAGUUUUGUUUGCUUUUGAUCCGCUUUGGGUAGUUCUGCUCUACCGCUACCGGAAACUCGCAAUAAAGCUUCAACGUUCCCUGGAUGUCGCGACUAAUCUAUUCACCAGCUGGAAGAUUUGUAUCAACGCCGCGUAGACUCAGGUUGUCUUAUUAUUUGCACGCCAAGUCACCUAGACUUGUUCCUGUUAGAGUUUGGUUUAAACUGAUCACCGUGUAUUUGGUUAAUUAUAACAAACAUAUGAGUAGUCACAUGAGAACGUGUAACCAAGAGUAAAAUAAACUAACGUCAUUCGUUUUUCCAUAUCCAAGCGGAACACACGUUUUUUUCCUUUCUCUGCUAAAUAUCACCGUUUUCAGGUUAUGGGACCAGCCCUAACCCCGCGAAAGUACGUGUUUCGAACACGUUCAAACCAGUUUUUCGUCGGUAUGUGAAAAUCGGAGAAAUCGCGAGUUACGGUGGAGGUGGACAAGAAAAUGUAUCUUUUUGAUGGAUCAAACUACGCUAAUUGGUCCUUUCGGAUGGAGAUUCAUCUCGAGGAAUUAGGCCUCUUAGAGUGCGUGCGCGGAGAAGCGGAAAAUCUUCCGGAAUUGCAGAUUCUCGUCGGCGACGAUACCGAUACACAGGAGAGCUAGGAGGAACUUCUAGCGGAUGUAAAAUGUAAAUCGGUGCUUGUCCGCAACAUCGCCGACUCGCAGUUAGAAUAUAUUAAGGGCAAGCGCACCCCAGCUGAUAUUUGGACUACACUCGAGUCCACUUUCGCCCGAAAGGGAAUCUCCGGACAGUUUUACCUGUUGAAGCGGCUUUCGGCAAUGAAGUACAACGAUGGAACAUCAAUGCAGGCGCACUUGCUUGCUUUCGACCGGAUGGUUCGAG